AUGAACGCUGGCGGCGUGCCUAAUACAUGCAAGUCGAGCGAACAGACGAGGAGCUUGCUCCUCUGACGUUAGCGGCGGCCGGGUGAGUAACACGUGGAUAACCUACCUAUAAGACUGGGAUAACUUCGGGAAACCGGAGCUAAUACCGGAUAAUAUAUUGAACCGCAUGGUUCAAUAGUGAAAGACGGUUUUGCUGUCACUUAUAGAUGGAUCCGCGCCGCAUUAGCUAGUUGGUAAGGUAACGGCUUACCAAGGCGACGAUGCGUAGCCGACCUGAGAGGGGGAUCGGCCACACUGGAACUGAGACACGGUCCAGACUCCUACGGGAGGCAGCAGUAGGGAAUCUUCCGCAAUGGGCGAAAGCCUGACGGAGCAACGCCGCGUGAGUGAUGAAGGUCUUCGGAUCGUAAAACUCUGUUAUUAGGGAAGAACAAAUGUGUAAGUAACUAUGCACGUCUUGACGGUACCUAAUCAGAAAGCCACGGCUAACUACGUG
rnacentral:rRNA from 1 species